rnacentral:rRNA from 1 species
UACAGAGGGGGCAAGCGUUGUUCGGAAUUACUGGGCGUAAAGGGCGCGUAGGCGGCCUUCUAAGUCGAACGUGAAAUCCCCAGGCUCAACUUGGGAACUGCAUCCGAUACUGGAUGGCUUGAAUUCGGGAGAGGGAUGCAGAAUUCCAGGUGUAGCGGUGAAAUGCGUAGAUAUCUGGAGGAAUACCGGUGGCGAAGGCGGCAUCCUGGACCGACAUUGACGCUGAACGGCGAAAGCUAGGGGAGCAAACGGG